UACAGGCUUAACACAUGCAAGUCGAGGGGCAUCAGGAAGAAAGCUUGCUUUCUUUGCUGGCGACCGGCGCACGGGUGAGUAACACGUAUCCAACCUGCCCUUUACUCGGGGAUAGCCUUUCGAAAGAAAGAUUAAUACCCGAUAGUAUAAUGAUUCCGCAUGGUUUCAUUAUUAAAGGAUUCCGGUAAAGGAUGGGGAUGCGUUCCAUUAGGUUGUUGGUGAGGUAACGGCCCACCAAGCCUUCGAUGGAUAGGGGUUCUGAGAGGAAGGUCCCCCACAUUGGAACUGAGACACGGUCCAAACUCCUACGGGAGGCAGCAGUGAGGAAUAUUGGUCAAUGGGCGCUAGCCUGAACCAGCCAAGUAGCGUGAAGGAUGAAGGCUCUAUGGGUCGUAAACUUCUUUUAUAUAAGAAUAAAAUGCAGUAUGUAUACUGUUUUGUAUGUAUUAUAUGAAUAAGGAUCGGCUAACUCCGUGCCAGCAGCCGCGGUAAUACGGAGGAUCCGAGCGUUAUCCGGAUUUAUUGGGUUUAAAGGGAGCGUAGGUGGACUGGUAAGUCAGUUGUGAAAGUUUGCGGCUCAACCGUAAAAUUGCAGUUGAUACUGUCAGUCUUGAGUACAGUAGAGGUGGGCGGAAUUCGUGGUGUAGCGGUGAAAUGCUUAGAUAUCACGAAGAACUCCGAUUGCGAAGGCAGCUCACUGGACUGCAACUGACACUGAUGCUCGAAAGUGUGGGUAUCAAACAGGAUUAGAUACCCUGGUAGUCCACACAGUAAACGAUGAAUACUCGCUGUUUGCGAUAUACAGUAAGCGGCCAAGCGAAAGCAUUAAGUAUUCCACCUGGGGAGUACGCCGGCAACGGUGAAACUCAAAGGAAUUGACGGGGGCCCGCACAAGCGGAGGAACAUGUGGUUUAAUUCGAUGAUACGCGAGGAACCUUACCCGGGCUUAAAUUGCAGUGGAAUGAUGUGGAAACAUGUCAGUGAGCAAUCACCGCUGUGAAGGUGCUGCAUGGUUGUCGUCAGCUCGUGCCGUGAGGUGUCGGCUUAAGUGCCAUAACGAGCGCAACCCUUAUCUUUAGUUACUAACAGGUUAUGCUGAGGACUCUAGAGAGACUGCCGUCGUAAGAUGUGAGGAAGGUGGGGAUGACGUCAAAUCAGCACGGCCCUUACGUCCGGGGCUACACACGUGUUACAAUGGGGGGUACAGAAGGCAGCUAGCGGGUGACCGUAUGCUAAUCCCAAAAGCCUCUCUCAGUUCGGAUCGAAGUCUGCAACCCGACUUCGUGAAGCUGGAUUCGCUAGUAAUCGCGCAUCAGCCACGGCGCGGUGAAUACGUUCCCGGGCCUUGUACACACCGCCCGUCAAGCCAUGGGAGCCGGGGGUACCUGAAGUACGUAACCGCAAGGAUCGUCCUAGGGUAAAACUGGUGACUGGGGCUAAGUCA
rnacentral:rRNA from 1 species